rnacentral:rRNA from 1 species
CCUACGGGAGGCAGCAGUGAGGAAUAUUGGUCAAUGGACGAGAGUCUGAACCAGCCAAGCCGCGUGAAGGAUGACGGCUCUAUGGGUUGUAAACUUCUUUUAUAUGGGAAUAAAAUGUUACACGUGUGGGAUUUUGUAUGUACCAUAUGAAUAAGGAUCGGCUAACUCCGUGCCAGCAGCCGCGGUAAUACGGAGGAUCCGAGCGUUAUCCGGAUUUAUUGGGUUUAAAGGGUGCGUAGGUGGUUUGUUAAGUCAGUUGUGAAAGUUUGAGGCUCAACCGUAGAAUUGCAGUUGAAACUGGCAGUCUUGAGUGCAGUAGAGGUAGGCGGAAUGCGUGGUGUAGCGGUGAAAUGCUUAGAUAUCACGAAGAACUCCGAUUGCGAAGGCAGCUCACUGGACUGCAACUGACGCUGAGGCUCGAAAGUGUGGGGAGCAAACAGGAUUAGAUACCCGUGUAGUC